rnacentral:rRNA from 1 species
GAGAGAGAGACAUGCGCGCAUAUCAAUAAGCGGAGGAAAAGAAACUAACAAGGAUUCCCCUAGUAACGGCGAGUGAAGCGGGAAGAGCUCAAAUUUGAAAUCUUAAAGGGUUUCCCUUUACGAAUUGUAGUUUAAAGAAGUGUUUUCUGUUGAGGUUUUGGUAAAAGUUCUUUGGAAUAGGACAUCAUAGAGGGUGAGAAUCCCGUAUUUGACCUUUACUUUCAACUUUGUGAUACACUUUCAAAGAGUCGGAUUGUUUGGGAAUGCAGUCCAAAAUGGGUGGUAAAUUUCAUCUAAAGCUAAAUAUUGGCGAGAGACCGAUAGCGAACAAGUACCGUGAGGGAAAGAUGAAAAGAACUUUGAAAAGAGAGUUAAACAGUACGUGAAAUUGUCAAAAGGGAAGCGUUUGACACCAGUGUUGUUUUUCUGAAAAUCAAUUAAAGAACUGUUUAUGCUAAGUUGUUUAGACUUUAUCAGCUAUCUGUUUAGUUUUGAGCUUUUCUUUAAUGCACUUUUCAGUUAACAAGUCAACAUCAAUUUCUUUUGCUGUAAAAAAGCUUGAGGAAGGUGGCUUGAGAUUCGUCUUAAGUGUUUAUAGCCUCUUGCCUAUGCAGUCGGAGAGAUUGAGGUCUGCAGCGUAGAUCCUUCGGGGCUAAAUGCAUUUGUGCUAAGUUAUAGCAUUUUAUAGACAACUUGUUGACUAUGAUUUGUCUUGUAGCUUACUCGCUUAUGUUAUUUUACCUACGCUUAGGAUGUUGACGCAUGAGAUAUACGC